ensembl:lncRNA
CUUACUUGUAAAACAAUACAUGUAGUCUCUGAGGUUCCUUCUAGGCCUAGCUCUCUGAUCAGUCCUAUGACUUCCACUGAGAGGAAUCUAGCUAACUUCCAAAGAGCCCAUUCUAUUUUUGGAUGGGCUUAUUGUGAGAAGCUUUUCCAUAUAUCAAAACCAAUAAAUCAUCUCUCUAGAUUUAUUCCCAUUGCUUAAAACAAGCCAAAUAUUUCUUCUCUUUUUCCAUGACAGAUUGAUGAAGACCACUAUUAUAUCCCCAUCAACUCUUCUCUUAUACAGGCCAAACAUCCCCAGUUCCUUUAAGUGAUCCUCAUAUGACAUGAUCUUGAGGGCCUUAACUAUCUUGGCCACCAACCUUUUGGAUACUUCUCAACUGAACAUCAUUCUUGUUACAAUAUGGUACCUGGGCCAAAGGUUCCCUGAAAUCACAGUUGGCUAUUGCAUUGAUCAGGGAUUUCUUAAGGCAUCCAAAAUUACUAUCUUUAAACGUUAUCCACAUCCAGAGGAAGAACUGUGGGAGCAGAAACACGGAAGAAAAACAACUGCCUGAUCACAUGGUUUGAGGGGAUGUGAUUGGGGAUGGAGACUCUAAACAAUCACCUUAGUGCAAAUGAUGAUAAUAAGGAAAUAAGUCUGGAUCAAGGACACAUGUAAAACCCAGUGGAAUUGUUCAUUGGCUCCAGGAGGGGAGUGGGAGGACGGGAGGGACAGAACAGGAAUCAUGUCACCAUGGAAUAAUAUGCUAAAAUCAAUUUAUUAAACAAAAAUUUCAAAAAACUAAAAAAAUUACUAUCUUUAGGUUGUUGCUGCCCUUUCUACAUACCAUUCUUCUGGUUCUGCUCUCUUCACUCUGCAUCAGUUGCUACUCAAGCUUCUCUAAAAUGGUUUCUUUUGUCAUUUCUCAGUGCAUGCACAGGGAAGACUAGCACCUCUGGUGUGAGGCUGCUCAUCCACCUUUGGUGUCCACCUUCACCCCAUCUCUCACCUGUGGCUCCAAGAAGCACCACACUCUGGUAAAACUCUCAGCAGACCAGCUAAACCAGGUUGAGGGGAACGGAAAGACCUCAAACCAUCAGUGAUUCAGGGCAAAGCCCACCCCAAGCAUGUAAGGCUUAUCUGUUGUUUUUUAAACCUUUACCUUUUGUCUUAGAAUCAAUACUGUAUAUGUGUAAAUUUAAAAAAAAAGAGGCAAUUGAGGUUAAGUGACUUUUCCAGGGUGACACAGCUAGGAAAUGUCUAAGGCCAGAUUUGCACCCCAAACCUCACAACUCCAGGUAUGACGCUGUAUCCACUGUGCUACCUAGUUGCCCUGACAUCAUUGAUUCAAGUAGUAUCCUGAAGUGAAAGCAUCCAAUGACCGUGAUAAGAUAAUACACAAUUUGCCUCUAACUAGAACUGGUGGAGAUGGAUUAAAAAGGAGAAAUGAAAAGGAAAGAAUCUGCAGCUUAAAUAUAGGCCAGCUGUAUUUUUACCCCAUUUGGGCUCUUCACUCCCAAAGCUCCCCCCCAGGCAGCUAUAAAUAGAGGCUGAUUUUUAUCAGUUGAGUAAUUCCCAGUGUGAACCCCCUCCAUCAGCCACCUUGAAAUGCUGUUACGUAGUUUCCCUCUCAAGCGUUCUGACUCUGAUUUCCCUAAUUUCUUGUGUUUAAAAAAAUAAAUCAUGUCUCCCCUAGAAAUACGAAUGUGCA